rnacentral:rRNA from 1 species
AGUGAAUAGAUACCCAGGUAGUCCUGGCCGUAAACGAUGGGCACUAGGUAGAGGGAAUUCCGAUAUUCUCUCUGCUGGAGCGAAAGCGUUAAGUGCCCCGCCUGGGGAGUACGGCCGCAAGGCUGAAACUCAAAGGAAUUGACGGGGGCUCGCACAAGCGGUGGAGUAUCUGGGUCAAUUCGAUGCAACGCGAAGAACCUUACCUGGGUUUGACAUGCUCGUGGUACGGACCUAGGAAAGGGCGAGGAACCCGGGGAAACCGGAGCGAGCACAGGUGCUGCAUGGCUGUCGUCAGCUCGUGUCGUGAGAUGUUAGGGUUAACGUCCCGUAACGAGCGAAACCCUUGUCCCUAGUUACCAGCGGGUCAUGGCCGGGGACUCGUAGGGAGACUGCCGGUGCCAAACCGGAGGAAGGUGGGAUGACGUCAAGUCAUCAUGGCCUUUAUGCCCGAGGGCGCCACGAGGUACUACAAUGGCCGAC